rnacentral:rRNA from 1 species
AACGAACGCUGGCGGCAUGCCUAACACAUGCAAGUCGAACGAGACCUUCGGGUCUAGUGGCGCACGGGUGCGUAACGCGUGGGAACCUGCCCUUAGGUUAGGAAUAACUCCCCGAAAGGGGUGCUAAUACCGGAGAAUGUCUUCGGACCAAAGAUGUAUCGCCUUUGGAUGGGCGCGGGUUAGUUUCGCUAGUUGGUAGGGUAAAAGCCUACCAAGGCGACGAUCCAUAGCUGGUCUGAGAGGAUGACCAGCUAGACUGGGACUGAGACACGGCCCAGACUGCUACGGGAGGCAGCAGUGGGGAAUAUUGUACGAUGGGCGAAAGCCUGAUCCAGCAAUGCGGCGUGAGUGAUGAAGGCCUUAGGGUUGUAAAGCUCUUUUACCCGGGAUGAUAAUGACAGUACCGGGAGAAUAAGCGCCGGCUAACUCCGUG